UAGGGAAUCUUCGGCAAUGGACGAAAGUCUGACCGAGCAACGCCGCGUGAGUGAAGAAGGUUUUCGGAUCGUAAAACUCUGUUGUUAGAGAAGAACAAGGACGUUAGUAACUGAACGUCCCCUGACGGUAUCUAACCAGAAAGCCACGGCUAACUACGUGCCAGCAGCCGCGGUAAUACGUAGGUGGCAAGCGUUGUCCGGAUUUAUUGGGCGUAAAGCGAGCGCAGGCGGUUUCUUAAGUCUGAUGUGAAAGCCCCCGGCUCAACCGGGGAGGGUCAUUAGAAACUGGGAGACUUGAGUGCGGAAGAGGAGAGUGGAAUUCCAUGUGUAGCGGUGAAAUGCGUAGAUAUAUGGAGGAACACCAGUGGCGAAGGCGGCUCUCUGGUCUGUAACUGACGCUGAGGCUCGAAAGCGUGGGGAGCAAACAGG
rnacentral:rRNA from 1 species